GUGGAUUAGAUACCCUGGUAGUCCACGCCCUAAACGAUGUCGACUAGUUGUUCGGGAAGGUGACUUCUUGAGUAACGUAGCUAACGCGUGAAGUCGACCGCCUGGGGAGUACGGUCGCAAGAUUAAAACUCAAAGGAAUUGACGGGGACCCGCACAAGCGGUGGAUGAUGUGGAUUAAUUCGAUGCAACGCGAAAAACCUUACCUACCCUUGACAUGCCUGGAAUCCUGCAGAGAUGUGGGAGUGCCUUCGGGAACCAGGACACAGGUGCUGCACGGUUGUCGACAGCU
rnacentral:rRNA from 1 species